UACGUAGGGUGCGAGCGUUGCCCGGAUUUAUUGGGCGUAAAGGGCGCGUAGGCGGCUCGGCACGUCCGUUGUGAAAUCGCUCGGCUCAACUGGGCGAGGUCAGCGGAUACGGUCGAGCUUGAGCCAGCUAGGGGGCAAUGGAAUUCCCGGUGUAGUGGUGGAAUGCGUAGAUAUCGGGAGGAACACCAGUGGCGAAGGCGGGUCUCUGGGCAGUAACUGACGCUGAGGAGCGAAAGCGUGGGGAGCGAACAGG
rnacentral:rRNA from 1 species